GGGGGUAGAUCUAGGUGGGGGCCUUAGUUGAAAUUGGUUUGUUGGUGCAGAACCCAACAUUCUUUAGUUAGACGGAAAGACCCCGGGAGCUUUGAUUUAUUCUUUAUCUGGGGCGGAGGCAUACUUUUCGUGUGUUUUGAGAUCCUUGUGUGGAUAAGAGGGUUAAGUUACCCCGGGGAUAACUAGGUAAGAGACAAAGAGAGGCCAUAUCGAUUUGUCUGUUUGCCAUCUCGAUGUUGACUUGAGGGUAGCAGGAGGGUGUAGAGGCUUUCCUGUGUUGGUCUGUUCGACCUUGGUGCCUUUCAUGAGCUG
rnacentral:rRNA from 1 species